UACGUAGGGUGCGAGCGUUAAUCGGAAUUACUGGGCGUAAAGCGUGCGCAGGCGGUUUUGUAAGCCAGAUGUGAAAUCCCCGGGCUUAACCUGGGAAUGGCAUUUGGGACUGCAAGGCUGGAGUUUGGCAGAGGAGACUGGAAUUCCUGGUGUAGCAGUGAAAUGCGUAGGUAUCAGGAGGAACACCGAUGGCGAAGGCAGGUCUCUGGGCUGAAACUGACGCUCAUGCACGAAAGCGUGGGGAGCAAACAGG
rnacentral:rRNA from 1 species